rfam:Camelus ferus unplaced genomic scaffold scaffold2050, whole genome shotgun sequence.
GAAGGUAUAGUUCAGUGGUAGAAUGCGUGCUUUGCAAGUACAAGAUCCUGGGUUCAAUGCCCAGUACCUCUG